GAAUGAAUCGUCUGCUUCUGCAAAUCAAACAGUCCGUGUGCUAAGGAAGGAAGUCAGCUGGAGUGAAUACAGUCAUAUCCUCUUCUUGGAGAGAGCUUGCAAUGCAGAUCCCUUCAAGAUGAGUAGAAAGUUAAAGGAAACAGCUUGGCAUGUGACUCACACAGCCUGUUGAGAUAGUCCCAUGAAUGACAUCUGAAGGCUGGACAUUCACAUUACAGGUUCACAACGUACUAUCAAGAUACAGAAUCAGUGGUGACUACACUGAGCCCAGUGAGUGCCUCCUCAGUCUGGGAUAAUAAAUGACAGUGACAGCAGCGGUCAUCCAUCCCAGGUUCCCUGGAGACGAGUGAGUAACAGUGUACAUUCCUUUAUAGCCGCGGCUCUCAGCCUUCCUGAUGCCGUUUGCGACCCUUUUAAUUCGGUUCCUCGUGUAGUGGUGACCCUCAACCGUAAAAUUACUUUUGUUGCUACUUCACAACUGUAAUUUUGUUACUGUUAUGAAUCAUAAUGUAAAUAUGUGAUAUGCAGGAUAUCUGAUAUGCAGCAGGUUGAGAACCAUGGCUUUAUAGGGAAGGGCGGAAGCUGUGGUUGGGUCCCACACUUAUACUCCUUACAACGAGGUGCCAGGUCUAAGAGUUUCCACACCUCUCUCUUGGGCAUCCUUGUUUACUCUUUGUCAAAAUGAACAAAAAGACAGAUAUUGGAUGUUAUUUUGUGAUGUCUCAAACAGUGAGCAAAUGAUAUAUUUACCAAGCCUACAUGGUUUAAACAAACAUGAAUUCUAGCUGUAAAUAUUCUAGGGAAUGAGUCUGGGUAGAUGCUGUCCACCAAUAAAUCUUGUUUUAUACUGGGCGUAGCAAAAGCCAUGCUCAUGCCUGAAUUAUUUAAGCUUUAUCACGAUUACAAGUGGCAAAGAUAUACAUUUGCUUAGGAUUUUAAAAGAAUGGCAGGCCCCUCACUCAUCCUCGGGGAAUAUGCACAGUCAUUAGCUUAAAUGAGAAUCCCUUUUCCUCCGAUGAAAACUGUAGGCUCUGACAAGUCAAACACAAGGUUCCCAAAACAAUUCAGCAAGGACAAGCUAGAGACCAGAGCAGGGCUGCAGACGUCUUUCUCUGACUUACGCUCUUGCUUGCCCAUGGCCUCUGUAUUCUGCAGGAGGAGCUAAUUUUAUCUCCAGGCCUGUGGGUUAAAGUUAAAUGGCACGGCUUAUGCAAAGUGCAUAAUUCAAGUCUGAACAGAGCUUGACUCUUCUCAUUUAAAAAAAAAAAAAUCAAGUCAGGGCACUGGGUCCCACAGGAAUCCUCGGUUUAUAAACAUUUGAAUUGGUUUGCAUGAUAUUUCUUGAUGCCAUUCAUGGCUUUAAAACAUCGCAGCUGGUUUCAUUUUAUACCUAAUCAAAUACAAGUAGGGGCACUCAUGAUCAGGUUAGCUAGUCGACUGAUUUUAAGAAUCAAUGUUCACCAUGCUUAAUAUUGUUGUUUAAAAAUUUUAAAUGUAAGAGGCAGAAAUUUUUUUAUAAGGUUGAUGAAAUUCAGACCUGGAAACAAUAUGGGAGUUCUUUUUCUUUCUUUCCUUCUUUAAUUAUUAAUUAGUAUCUAUGUUCUUGAGACAGAAUCUCACUGUCUAGCUAUGACUGGCCAGGAGCUCACUAUGUAAAUGAGUCCAGCAUCAAACUCACAGAUACCUGUCUGCCUCUGCCUCCUGAAUGCUGGGAUUAAAGGUUUGUGCUGCCUCACCCUCAAUAAAGUCAUUUAUAACAGACUUAAAGUAAUUUGGGAGGGGGCCUGGAGACAUGGCUCAGCAGUUGAAAACUGGCUUUUCUUUAGGGGAUCUGGGUUUGAUUCCCAGCACCCACAUCGAGGCUCAAAACCAUCUAUAAUUCCAGUUCCAGAGAAUCCAAUGCCCUCUUCUGAACUCUCUGAGCACCAGGCACACUUGUGAUACCCAGACAUAUAUGUAGCCAAAACACUCAUACAUUAAAAAAAAAGACUCUUAGAAAAUAAUGGGAUGAUAUUUUAGCUGACAUUUUUGAUAAAGUCCAUCACGGUUCUGAUGACUGUAUCUUGCCCAGAGAUCUGGGCGGGAACUUCUGUAUACUGACCAAAGCUGAAAACCAUCCUUAUUUUAACUAUGUUAUAUCAAUAAAUUCUAAUUUAACAA